rnacentral:rRNA from 1 species
CGGAGGUGGGCGGGACGGGGUGAAGUAAUGUCGUAGGAACUCGCCGAUGGAGGGGGAUAACUACUGGAAACGGUAGCUAAUACCGCAUAACGUCGCAAGACCAAAGAGGGGACCUUCGGGCCUCUUGCCAUCGGAUGUGCCCAGAUGGGAUUAGCUAGUAGGUGGGGUAACGGCUCACCUAGGCGACGAUCCCUAGCUGGUCUGAGAGGAUGACCAGCCACACUGGAACUGAGACACGGUCCAG